UGAGAACUUCUGAAGCCAGCCCAGCUACAUCCUCUGCUCCAAAGAAAAGUACAAGAAUCCUCAUUUUAGAAGGAUGCGAGAUAACAGAUGCUGCAUGUCAGGUCUGUUCUUGGUUGCUAGAAGUUAAACAGUGUUUUUAAAUGGGACACUAAAUACCCCUCCUUAAAUGUGGGUUUGUCUCUGAGAAGCGCAGAUUCUGCUCCCUUGACAAAUUUUGCCGUAUUCUGAACUUCCUGCGAGGAGUUCCACAGUUUAUGUCCUUAUUGUAUGAAAACAGUAUUUCCACCUACAACUUAGACUUAAGAAUUUCUUUGCUGUGUUCUUCCAAAAACAAAGUAACAAAGAUUCCUGGGACUCUUAGGCUGAGGCACUGAACUGCCAGCCAAGCAACCUUGAUUUUGAGCCAUACAGAAACUGAGGGUUACUUUGGAGACAGACAUUCAAUAGCAAUAAUUAUGCAGAUACUGGCAAUAAUUUAAGUUACAAAUCCUGACUGCAACUGACCCACUCUUCGCCUUUAUAAACACUUGCCAAAAAGUCCUUGCAGGGAAAAGAACAAGCAAGGGAGCUGAGGAACACCCACCUGCCAGUAAGAACUGGCUGAACAGACUAGCUCUCCCUUCUCCCAUCCCCUGCUUCUCUCUGCAUUUGAACUUGCUACAGCAACCAUUGUGACUAAUGAAUUGCGUUUCAGUUGUAACUGAACAACCUGCCUUAUUCAGCAUCAAAUCAUAUGCUGCCUCAGUGUUUACAUUGCACUUAUAGUUAUGUUGCAUCAACAGUCAAUCUCAGCUCCUGCUGUGUGUUCACAUGGAUGUGCUCCCGUCUAUGUACAAAUGCUAUGGAUAGCUUCGUUUCCCACUUUUUGUGAGGCACUGGAAGUUAACCCAAGAAGAAAGAGGCUCACAGAGGAAGUGGGUCAGCAGGCUCUGCCUUGGCAGCAGCUGGAAGAGGAGUGAACACGCACAAUGAGGAGUUGUGGGUGACUGCUAUUAAGGACUCUCCAUGGAGGAAUGUGUUGAAUACUGCUAGCAAGACUGCUGGGGAAGUUUGCACAGUCCCUCCCCGUCCUGGCAGCAGAAGCAAAGAAGCAGCCAUGCGAAGGAGGAAUUCGGUGCAAAAGUGAGAAGCAGGAGGUUUUGAAUUCCCUCAGCUGCAUAUUUAGGAUGAGAUUCCCAGCUUUUGGAAAGAGAGUUUUGAGUGAGUGUGACCAUAACUGGGAUACUGCCUUCUCAUAGAAACCUGUGUACCUCAGACUGGAGGUUCAGAACCAGUGGCCACAGUAGCUAGCAAAAUAAUUUGUGAUCAAAAUAGCUCAAUCGGGACUGAAACAGAAAUGUAAUGUUUCCAGUUAACUUUAAGGAGCAACUCAGAACAGCUAUGUGA